GAUGAACGCUGGCGGCGUGCCUAAUACAUGCAAGUCGAGCGAACGGACGAGAAGCUUGCUUCUCUGAUGUUAGCGGCGGACGGGUGAGUAACACGUGGAUAACCUACCUAUAAGACUGGGAUAACUUCGAGAAACCGGAGCUAAUACCGGAUAAUAUUUUGAACCGCAUGGUUCAAAAGUGAAAGACGGUCUUGCUGUCACUUAUAGAUGGAUCCGCGCUGCAUUAGCUAGUUGGUAAGGUAACGGCUUACCAAGGCAACGAUGCAUAGCCGACCUGAGAGGGUGAUCGGCCACACUGGAACUGAGACACGGUCCAGACUCCUACGGGAGGCAGCAGUAGGGAAUCUUCCGCAAUGGGCGAAAGCCUGACGGAGCAACGCCGCGUGAGUGAUGAAGGUCUUCGGAUCGUAAAACUCUGUUAUUAGGGAAGAACGUAUGUGUAAGUAACUGUGCACAUCUUGACGGUACCUAAUCAGAAAGCCACGGCUAACUACGUG
rnacentral:rRNA from 1 species